rnacentral:lncRNA from 1 species
ACCAAUGUUACUCGGCUGCCAACUUGAAAGUGAAACAGAAAUCCUAGCAAUGAUUUUUUCUUCUCCAAUCAUUAACUUUAUCUUAAAAUAGGUAUGUAGUUUGAUAUUUAAGUCCUCCAACACCAUGCCAAUUUUCACCUUAAUCCGACGGUUAGAUCUUCAAAUAUCAUAGAAUCCCUACCCAACCUCAAACUGCCACCUUCUAAAACCUUCUUGUCCUAAAAACUAGAUAUCUCUAAACCAUGCCGUUAGAUUAUUACAAAAUUUUGUAUACACUUAGUAAAUCCAAUAAUUCAAUCAAUAUUAAAUUUUCAACUGUAGAUGUCAUGUCAAUUCCACGAACUAGCCAAAAUUACCAGCCCUAAUUAUAUUAUAUAAAAUCCAAAUCACUAAUACAAACCCUGACUUUGAAUAACAAUUGCUAAGUCCUCCAAAAUCCUCUCAAAAUAAUUCUUAUGUCUUUAGAGAGAACUUUAAUCUAGCUUACA